rnacentral:rRNA from 1 species
CUGACGCUGAUGCACGAAAGCGUGGGGAUCGAACAGNAUUAGAUACCCUGGUAGUCCACGCCGUAAACGAUGAUAACUCGCUGUUGGCGAUACACAGUCAGCGGCUUAGCGAAAGCGUUAAGUUAUCCACCUGGGGAGUACGCUCGCAAGAGUGAAACUCAAAGGAAUUGACGGGGGCCCGCACAAGCGGAGGAACAUGUGGUUUAAUUCGAUGAUACGCGAGGAACCUUACCUGGGCUUAAAUGUGCCCUGACCGCUGGAGAAAUCUGGUUUUCCGCAAGGACAGGGUACAAGGUGCUGCAUGGUUGUCGUCAGCUCGUGCCGUGAGGUGUCGGGUUAAGUCCCAUAACGAGCGCAACCCCUACUGCCAGUUGCUAACAGGUCAAGCUGAGGACUCUGGCGGGACUGCCACCGUAAGGUGCGAGGAAGGCGGGGAUGACGUCAAAUCAGCACGGCCCUUAUGUCCAGGGCUACACACGUGUUACAAUGGCCGAUACAAAGGGCAGCUACCGGGCGACCGGAUGCCAAUCCCAAAAGUCGGUCUCAGUUCGGAUCGGAGUCUGCAACCCGACUCCGUGAAGCUGGAUUCGCUAGUAAUCGCGCAUCAGCCAUGGCGCGGUGAAUACGUUCCCGGGCCUUGUACACACCGCCCGUCAAACCAUGGGAGUUGGGGGUACCUGAAGUAUGUGACCGCAAGGAGCGUCCUAGGGUAAAACCAAUGACUGGGGUUAAGUCGUAACAAGGUAGCCGAAUCGAAUCCCGCGGCCG